rnacentral:rRNA from 1 species
GACGAACGCUGGCGGCGUGCCUAAUACAUGCAAGUCGAACGCAGGGGGGACGGGUGAGUAACACGUGGGUAACCUCCCAUCAGAGGGGAUAACACUUGGAAACAGGUGCUAAACCGCUACUGAUGGAUGGACCCGUGGGGCAUUAGCUAGUUGGUGGGUGAACGGCUCACCAAGGCCACGAUGCGUAGCGGACCUGAGGGGGUGAUGGGCUACACUGUGACUGAGACACGGCCCAGACUCCGACGGGAGGCAGCAGUGGGGAAUCUUCGGCAAUGGACGAAAGUCUGACCGAGCAACGCCGCGUGAAUGAAGAAGGUUUUCGGUUCGUAAAACUCUUUUGUUAGAGAAGCGGUAUCUAACCAGAAAGCCACGGCUAACUACGUGCCAGCAGCCGCGGUAAUUC